GAUAAACGCUGGCGGCGUGCAUAACACAUGCAAGUCGAACGAUGAAGAUUAAAAGAUUUCUUCGGAAUGAACUUAAUUGGAUUAGUGGCGGACGGGUGAGUAACGCGUGAGUAACCUGCCUUGUACAAGGGGAUAGCCGUUGGAAACGACGAAUAAUACCCUAUGACAUCAAAUAAUCGCAUGAUAAUUUGAUCAAAGAUUUAUCGGUAUAAGAUGGACUCGCGUCUGAUUAGCUAGUUGGUAGAGUAAAAGCCUACCAAGGCAACGAUCAGUAGCCGGCUUGAGAGAGUGUACGGCCACAUUGGGACUGAGACACGGCCCAGACUCCUACGGGAGGCAGCAGUGGGGAAUUUUGCACAAUGGGGGAAACCCUGAUGCAGCGACGCCGCGUGAUUUAGAAGGCCUGCGGGUUGUAAAAAUCUUUUGUAUGGGAAGAAAAUGACAGUACCAUACGAAUAAGGACCGGCUAAUUACGUG
rnacentral:rRNA from 1 species